rnacentral:lncRNA from 1 species
UUUGGAGACAUCCCUGUUUUGGGGCUGGAUGUGGAGUUUUGGAGACAUCCCCAUUUAUUUGGAGACAUCCCUGUUUUGAGACUGGAUGUGGGGAUUUGGGGCUGGCUUUGGGUUUUUGGAGACAUCCCUGUUUUGGGGCUGGAUGUGGAGUUUUGGAGACAUCCCCAUUUAUUUGGAGACAUCCCUGUUUUGAGACUGGAUGUGGGGAUUUGGGGCUGGCUUUGGGUUUUUGGAGACAUCCCUGUUUUGGGGCUGGAUGUGGAGUUUUGGAGACAUCCCCAUUUAUUUGGAGACAUCCCUGUUUUGAGACUGGAUGUGGGGAUUUGGGGCUGGCUUUGGGUUUUUGGAGACAUCCCUGUUUUGGGGCUGGAUGUGGAGUUUUGGAGACAUCCCCAUUUAUUUGGAGACAUCCCUGUUUUGAGACUGGAUGUGGGGAUUUGGGGCUGGCUUUGGGUUUUUGGAGACAUCCCUGUUUUGGGGCUGGAUGUGGAGUUUUGGAGACAUCCCCAUUUAUUUGGAGACAUCCCUGUUUUGAGACUGGAUGUGGGGAUUUGGGGCUGGCUUUGGGUUUUUGGAGACAUCCCUGUUUUGGGGCUGGAUGUGGGGUUUUGGAGACAUCCCCAUUUAUUUGGAGACAUCCCUGUUUUGGGGCUGGAUGUGGGGAUUUGGAGACAUUCCCCAUUUAUUUGGAGACAUCCCUGUUUUGGGGCUGGAUAUGGGAGUCUGAAUACAUCCCUGUUUUGGGAUGGAAUGUGGGGAUUUGGAGACGUCCCCAUUUGUUGGAUGUGCGGGGUCUGGAGACAGCCCUGUUUUGGGGCUGGAUGUGGGGAUUUGGAGACAUUCCCCAUUUAUUUGGAGACAUCCCUGUUUUGGGGCUGGAUAUGGGAGUCUGAAUACAUCCCUGUUUUGGGAUGGAAUGUGGGGAUUUGGAGACGUCCCCAUUUGUUUGGAGUCAUCCCUGUUUUGGGGCUGGAGGUGGAGAUUUCAGGCUGGAUGUGGGGAUUUGGAGUCAUUCCUGUUUUGGGGCUGCAUGUGGGGAUUUAG